rfam:Brassica napus, WGS project CCCW01000000 data, contig: 18514
AUCGUCUUAGCUCAGCGGUAAAGCCCGUGACUUUUAAUCCCGUGGCUGUGGGUUUAAUAUCCACAGACGGCG